UACGGGAGGCAGCAGUGGGGAAUAUUGCACAAUGGGCGCAAGCCUGAUGCAGCCAUGCCGCGUGUAUGAAGAAGGCCUUCGGGUUGUAAAGUACUUUCAGUCGUGAGGAAGGUGUUAAGGUUAAUAACCUUAGCAAUUGACGUUAGCGACAGAAGAAGCACCGGCUAACUCCGUGCCAGCAGCCGCGGUAAUACGGAGGGUGCGAGCGUUAAUCGGAAUUACUGGGCGUAAAGGGCACGCAGGCGGUUAAUUAAGUUGGAUGUGAAUCCCCGGGCUUAACCUGGGAAUGGCAUUCAAGACUGGUUAGCUAGAGUCUUGUAGAGGGGGUAGAAUUCCAUGUGUAGCGGUGAAAUGCGUAGAGAUGUGGAGGAAUACCGGUGGCGAAGGCGGCCCCGUGGACAAAGACUGACGCUCAUGUGCGAAAGCGUGGGGAGCAAACAGGGAUUAGAUACC
rnacentral:rRNA from 1 species